rnacentral:lncRNA from 1 species
UCCUAUUCUCCAUACUCACCCCUCUUUUCUUUUAAACACCUUCAAUUUACUCGGGCGGGAAUCAUCACCAUCGAACCACAGAACCGUAAACCUCAGCCACCGGGCAAAGGGGAACUCACCUCACUAUCAUCCCCUUCACAACGGUCCACCGGGACCGACGGGAUUGGGAAAGAAAUGGUGGAGGUCCAUCGUGACUCCUUACACAUCGCUCGUCGGCGCCUUAUGUGUGGCCUUGCUGGAGAAGCUUGGUCCCGACAACCUCCUCCAUGGAUGAG